GUCCAACAUAUGUUUGAGUGGGCCGCUUGUCAGAUGUUUUUACUGCGGCAUCAUCUGACAAGCGGCCCACUCAAACAUAUGUUGGAC
rnacentral:miRNA from 1 species